rnacentral:rRNA from 1 species
AGCAGCCGCGGUAAUUCCAGCUCCAAUAGCGUAUAUUAAAGUUGUUGCAGUUAAAAAGCUCGUAGUUGAAUUUCGGGAUCAAUACGUUGGUCGUGCUUUCGGGUACGUACUGGCGUCAUUGGUUUCUCUCUUCUGACGAACCAUGAUGUCAUUAAUUUGGUGUUAUGGGGAGUUAGGACUGUUACUUUGAAAAAAAUUAGAGUGUUUAAAGCAAGCUAACGCUUGAAUACAUUAGCAUGGAAUAAUGAAAUAGGACGUUCGAUCCUAUUUUGUUGGUUUCUAGGAUUGACGUAAUGAUUAAUAGGGAUAGUUGGGGGCAUUAGUAUUCAAUUGUCAGAGGUGAAAUUCUUGGAUUUAUUGAAGACUAACUACUGCGAAAGCAUUUGCCAAGGAUGUUUUCAUUAAUCAAGAACGAAAGUUAUGGGGGAUCAAGACGAUCAGAUACCGUCGUAGUCUUAACCAUAAACUAUGCCGACUAGGGAUCGGAUGAUGUUAAUUUUUUAAUGACUCAUUCGGCGCC